UAGAAGAAAGUAAUAAAGAGUACACGGGGGAUGCCUUGGCUCUCAGAGGCGAUGAAGGACGUGAUAAGCUGCGAUAAGCUUCGGGUAUUUGCAAAUAGGAAUUGAUCCGAAGAUUUCCGAAUGGGGCAACCCGGCAUGUUGAAGACAUGUCACAUAUAAUGAGCAAACCUGCCGAACUGAAACAUCUAAGUAAGCAGAGGAAGAGAAAAUAACAAUGAUUUCCUA
rnacentral:rRNA from 1 species